CCUACGGGUGGCUGCAGUGAGGAAUAUUGGUCAAUGGUCGGGAGACUGAACCAGCCAAGCCGCGUGAGGGAGGAAGGUACUGAGUAUCUUAAACCUCUUUUGUCAGGGAACAAAUACUGGGACGCGUCCCCGGAUGAGUGUACCUGACGCAACAGCAUCGGCAACCUCUGUGCCAGCAGCCGCGGUAAUACGGAGGAUCCGAGCGUUAUCCGGAUUUAGGGGGUUUAAGGGGUGCGAAGUCGGACUGUUAAGUCAGCGGUAAAAGCCAGGGGCUCAACCCAGCCCCGCCGUUGAAACUGGCAGUCUCGAGUUGGAGAGAGGUAUGCGGAAGGCGCGGUGUAGGGGUGAAAUGCAUAGAUAUCGAGCAGAACUCCGAUUGCGAAGGCAGCAUGCCGGCACCACACUGACGCUGAGGCACGAAAGCGUGGGUAUCGAACAGGAUUAGAUACCCCUGUAGUC
rnacentral:rRNA from 1 species